rnacentral:rRNA from 1 species
GCAUAUCAAUAAGCGGAGGAAAAGAAACCAACAGGGAUUACCUCAGUAACGGCGAGUGAAGCGGUAAAAGCUCAAAUUUGAAAUCUGGCUCUUUUAGAGUCCGAAUUGUAAUUUGUAGAAGAUGCUUCGGGUGUGGUUCCGGUCUAAGUUCCUUGGAACAGGACGUCAUAGAGGGUGAGAAUCCCGUAUGUGACUGGAUACCUAUGCUCAUGUGAAGCUCUUUCGACGAGUCGAGUUGUUUGGGAAUGCAGCUCAAAAUGGGAGGUAUAUUUCUUCUAAAGCUAAAUAUUGGCCAGAGACCGAUAGCGCACAAGUAGAGUGAUCGAAAGAUGAAAAGCACUUUGGAAAGAGAGUUAAACAGUACGUGAAAUUGUUGAAAGGGAAGCGCUUGCAAUCAGACUUGCACUUGGUGUUCAUCAGGGUCUCGUACCCUGUGUACUUCAUCAAGUUCAGGCCAGCAUCAGUUUGAGUGGUUAGAUAAAGGCUUAGAGAAUGUGGCCCUCUUCGGGGGGUGUUAUAGCUCUAGGUGCAAUGUAGCCUACUUGGACUGAGGACCGCGCUUCGGCUAGGAUGCUGGCGUAAUGGUUGUAAGCGACCCGUCUUGAAACACGGACCAAGGAGUGUACCUAAUAUGCGAGUGUUUGGGUGUUAAACCCAUACGCGUAAUGAAAGUGAACGCUGGUGAGAACCCUUAAGGGUGCAUCAUCGACCGAUCUUGAUGUCUUCGGAUGGAUUUGAGUAAGAGCAUAUUGGGUGCGACCCGAAAGAUGGUGAUCUAUACGUGAAUAGGGUGAAGCCAGAGGAAAACUCUGGUGGAGGCUCGCAGCGGUUCUGACGUGCAAAUCGAUCGUCAAAUUUGCGUAUAGGGGGCGAAAGACUAAUCGAACCAUCUAGUAGCUGGUUCCUGCCGA